CCUACGGGAGGCAGCAGUAAGGAAUAUUGGUCAAUGGACGCAAGUCUGAACCAGCCAUGCCGCGUGAAGGAUUAAGGUCCUCUGGAUUGUAAACUUCUUUUAUCUGGGACGAAAAAAGGCUAUUCUUAGUCACUUGACGGUACCAGAUGAAUAAGCACCGGCUAACUCCGUGCCAGCAGCCGCGGUAAUACGGAGGGUGCAAGCGUUAUCCGGAUUCACUGGGUUUAAAGGGUGCGUAGGCGGGCAGGUAAGUCAGUGGUGAAAUCCUGGAGCUUAACUCCAGAACUGCCAUUGAUACUAUCUGUCUUGAAUAUUGUGGAGGUAAGCGGAAUAUGUCAUGUAGCGGUGAAAUGCUUAGAUAUGACAUAGAACACCUAUUGCGAAGGCAGCUUACUACGCAUAUAUUGACGCUGAGGCACGAAAGCGUGGGGAUCAAACAGGAUUAGAUACCCUGGUAGUCCACGCCCUAAACGAUGAUUACUCGACAUUUGUGAUACACUAUAAGUGUCUGAGCGAAAGCAUUAAGUAAUCCACCUGGGAAGUACGACCGCAAGGUUGAAACUUAAAGGAAAUUGACGG
rnacentral:rRNA from 1 species